rnacentral:rRNA from 1 species
CCUACGGGUGGCUGCAGUAAGGAAUAUUGGACAAUGCCCGCAAGGGUGAUCCAGCCAUGCCGCGUGCAGGAAGACGGCCCUAUGGGUUGUAAACUGCUUUUACACCGGAGAAAACCCCCCUUCGUGAAGGGGGCUGAUAGUAUGGUGAGAAUAAGCAUCGGCUAACUUCGUGCCAGCAGCCGCGGUAAGACGAAGGAUGCAAGCGUUAUCCGGAUUCAUUGGGUUUAAAGGGAGCGUAGGUGGCCAAAUAAGUCAGUGGUGAAAUCUCUCAGCUU